AUCUCAGACCUCUAACUUCAAGGAACUGAAAUCUGCCAGUUAUCAGGAAUCUUGGUAGAGGAACUGGAGCCUCCAGUAAGAUCACUGCUCUGGUCAACACCUUCAGUUCAGUCCUAUGAGACCCUCAGCAGAGAACCCAGCCAUGCUGCACCUGAAUUUCUAUCCUGUGGCACUGUGAGACUGUUCCCAUGAUAGCAGGCCCUGUUGAGACUGAUUGGAAGGAGACUAAGUCUUGUAUUGAUGGACUUGAUGAACAGUAUAGAUAUUGCAUGACCCGCUGAAAAACGAGCUUUCUCCAAAUGAGUGUCUCCAGGGAGAAAGAGAAACGUUAU